rnacentral:lncRNA from 1 species
GAGUGUUAAAACACACCCCCAAAAGGGAUCUUUCGGUGAUAGGAUGAAAGUGAAAACCACAAAAUCCUAUUUAUGGACUAGUUUUUAUGGUUUGCCUUUUUUUUGGCAAAACGAAAAUAAUAAUCACAAUAAAAACAAGAAUAUGGAAUAACUAGACGGAGAUCCCUCUCCUUUUAACGCUAGCGCGAGAUCCCGCACCUGCAUAGAAGAUCCCUACCCAUGAUUCAUCCAUGUGGUCUUCCUCAUCUUCGUCCGACUUCUCGUCUUCUCCUUCCCGCUUGCCGCCUCCUUAUUCCUCUAGCCUUCUUGGCCUUCCCAUUUUCCGCCUCCUUCCUCCAGCCUUCUUGGCUGCCGACCUCCGCCUCAUCAGCAUCCUCCUCCCUUUCCCCCUCCUCUUAGAUCUGAGCUCUUCCACCACCUUUCGUCUUCCUCACCAACAGCUGGUCAUUGCCUCGCUGAUCGACCACCACCUUAACUAGCGGUUACCUCGCCAGCAGCCUGUUGAUGGUAGUUAGCACGUCAACUUAUGAACCGCAAGCGUACGGAUCAAUUGUAACUCUUUCCUUAGAGUAAUACCCCA